CCUAAGCGAAAAUCGGAUGCUUAACCGACUAAGCCACUCAGGAAUAAAGUUGCUUCCCGGAGAGAAAAACUUCAGUGUCAUGACCCUAUGCAAGAAUCCUGCUACACCAUCACAUGUGGAUCUUCCGUUAAUCAGAAUAUGAGUCCUGCUUUAUUUUAAAAAUAUUUUUCAUUAAACUGUACAAAAAGGCUUGAA